rnacentral:misc_RNA from 1 species
CUUUAUUUAGUAUCCGAUGCAAGUUGAUCGAAGUGAGGUCGCUUUCGGUUGAAAUGCGCUUACUGUUUUCGGGCAAAGUGGCUUUAAAAAGCUUUAUUUGACUCAUACGUAAAGUUGUUUUUGUUUUUUCCCAUACAUAUCAUCCACCUUCUCCAAGUCUGCUGCAUACAUACAUAUGUAUACUAUACAUAAGCACAUACAUGUAGAUGCAAUAUGUCUUUCACCAUGCAAAUGGGCUCUCGCAAGUACGUUAAAUUAUCGUUGGAGCAACGCAUGAUGGUAAUUAAAUCGUUUAAACAUACACCGAACUACAACCGUUUGGCGAGUUACUUCCAUUGCAGUACAAGGCAGGUAAGGAGUAUCAUCGCCAAUAGAGAUAAGAUCAAGCGCUACCACAAUGAACGUGCCAAGAAAUUAGCAGAAGAAAUAGUCAAUCGGCGUCGAGAGAAGAUUGACUUUCUCUGCGAAGUGGUCUAUGAGUUUCUACUACGCGCUCACUAUCUUCGCAUGCCAAUCGACAUAUCAAUCAUACGAACGAAGGCAUUUGAAGUGAAAGAGGCAUUAGCUAUUGAAAAUUUUACACCAAACAAUGAUUGGUUGCAAGUCUUUAAAUCGCAUUACGAUACAUUGGAUUUACCAGGAAUGACGGAACAAUUACCAAGUUCUAUGGAGGAGCGACGUUCGUUGAAGUGUAUCGAUAUAAUGGAGUAUAUAAGCAAGCAAGCUGGAGGGAAGGAAGAAAAAACACAUAUGGAGUCAGAUGACACCCCUGGAAGUGGUCGGAAUGAUAGUGAAAAGGCGAUACAGAAUUUUAUGAAAUCUGAAAAUGACGUUGAUGAUUAUGAAGCGUAUGGCAGUACUAAAGAUGAUUUCGGGAAUCAUGAGAGUGUUGAAAAUAUGACCACUGCAAGCGCGAGUGCUGCACCGAUUGUCGUCGAUCUUGAUUCGGAUGAGGAAGACGAAGAAGUAGAGAGCGCUGUGGUGAAAGCGGAGGAGACUGUAUCAGCCAACACAAGCUCUUUUGCUGCUAUGCCUAUUUUAAAACCCUCAACGCCCCCACCUUUUCCCGAUAUACACAGCUAUCCGGAAGCCAUGCGUCAUCUGAAAGUGUUGGAAGAUUUUGCGAUGAUGAAAGAGAACUAUCGCGCUAUCGGCUUGAUAACACAACUGGAGCAGAUUUUCAAGUAUCCAUCGAUAUUGGAGAGCUAACCGCAUGAAAUAAGUCUAGAUCUACAUAAUACUUUUAUAUAGGUUCAAGAAAAUACUUUAAACUACAAAGAAGUAUUUUUGUACAAAUUUCGACAGAUUGUACAGUUAAGAUAUUCGAUUUAUAUGAAUACGCCUAAUAAGAAAAUUUCAGGUUAAGAUGACAUUGUUUU